CUACGUGCCAGCAGCCGCGGUAAUACGGAAGGUCCGGGCGUUAUCCGGAUUUAUUGGGUUUAAAGGGAGCGUAGGCCGGAGAUUAAGUGUGUUGUGAAAUGUAGACGCUCAACCUCUAUCGUGCAGCGCGAACUGUCGAACUUGAGUGCGUAGUAGGUAGGCGGAAUUCGUGGUGUAGCGGUGAAAUGCUUAGAUAUCACGAAGAACUCCGAUUGCGAAGGCAGCUUACCGUAACGUUACUGACGCUUAAGCACGAAGGUGCGGGUAUCGAACAGGAUUAGAUACCCUGGUAGUCCGCACAGUAAACGAUGGAUGCUCGCUGUUGGCCUUUUUGGUCAGUGGCUUAGCGAAAGCGUUAAGCAUCCCACCUGGGGAGUACGCCGGCAACGGUGAAACUCAAAGGAAUUGACGGGGGCCCGCACAAGCGGUGGAGCAUGUGGUUUAAUUCGACGCAACGCGAAGAACCUUACCAGGUCUUGACAUUGAUGGACAGAACUAGAGAUAG
rnacentral:rRNA from 1 species